rnacentral:lncRNA from 1 species
GAACAGGACAAAAACAAGGCUACUCCAAAACAAGGAAGUAGAGGCUCCUUCAGGAAAAGAAGACACAGAUGAGUGCCCUACUGCUAGUGUUCAGAAGGUUGGAGUAGAACAUAACCAUGUAAUCUGGGCUCUGCAAACACUAGCAGAAAGCUUUAGAAGCUUCCAGACGUUUGCUAUCCCAUUCAGUAAGGUGCCUGAGGGAAGAUGGACGUCUUCUGAACAGUAAAAAUCCAGAGUCUAAAGAGAGAUCUUCACUGAAGUCACAUAACAAUCAGCUCUGCUUAAUCUCUAUGAAGAUAAUAGCACAAUGAGAGGUGACAAGAUCCAAACAGCAUAACAAAUCCUAGGUGGUACAAGGAAAAACAGAAGGACAGGCAUGGUCAGGAACGAUGGGAAUAAGGAACUCCCAGAUCUCAUUAUGGGUUGUAGCAUUUGCUUCUCGCUCUGUAACAGAAGUUGAAAAAGACCUUGUCACAGAGUGCCCUAGAUAACACUGAAUUGUUCUAAGGAGUCAAGAGACAGUCAUCUGUUUGUUAGAGUGGCUUACUUCUCAUGGGGACCAGUUUCACACGCAGUAUUUCUAGAGCAGUGACCACUGAAGCUCUGUGACAUUCCUGACUUAGUUCUCAAUCAAGUCAACACAGCACUGAGCACUGUCUGGGGACUAGGGUUAGAUGUGAUAGUGCCCAGAGAUUAUCAAGUUGUUUGUACAACUUCUAACUUGACACUCCCCUAUCUGUAAAAAUGCUGAUGUAUUUUUUAAUUCCUCCUUCGGCCUAUCUGGAUCUUCAAAUUGAUGUUUAAGAUAAUGUCCUCAUUAGUGGUGAAAAAUAAAUAAAAAGAAGAAACUCAACAUAUCCUUCUUAGCUGAAUUCAGUGUAUGGGAUAUUAAGAGCCCU